rnacentral:rRNA from 1 species
GGCCUGCGGGCUAUCAGCUUGUUGGUGGGGUAACGGCCUACCAAGGCUAAGACGGCUAGGGGGCGUGAGAGCGCGACCCCCCACAAUGGAACUGAGACACGGUCCAUACUCCUACGGGAGGCAGCAGUGAGGAAUAUUGCGCAAUGGGGGCAACCCUGACGCAGCAACGCCGCGUGGACGAUGAAGGCCUUCGGGUUGUAAAGUCCUUUUUUGGGGGAUGAUAAUGACGGUACCCCAAGAAUAAGUCCCGGCUAACUACGUGCCAGCAGCCGCGGUAAAACGUAGGGGGCAAGCGUUAUCCGGAUUUACUGGGCGUAAAGCGCACGUAGGCGGCGCUGUAAGUUGGACGUGAAAGCUCUCGGCUUAACUGGGAGAGGUCGUUCAAUACUGCGGUGCUCGAGGUUGGGAGAGGAGAGUGGAAUUCCCGGUGUAGUGGUGGAAUGCGUAGAUAUCGGGAGGAACACCAGUGGCGAAGGCGACUCUCUGGUCCACACCUGACGCUGAGGUGCGAAAGCGUGGGGAGCGAACGGGAUUAGAUACCCCGGUAGUCCACGCCGUAAACGAUGGAUACUAGGUGUAGGAGGUCAUUUACCCCUUCUGUGCCGUAGCUAACGCGUUAAGUAUCCCGCCUGGGGACUACGAUCGCAAGGUUAAAACUCAAAGGAAUUGACGGGGGCCCGCACAAGCAGCGGAGCGUGUGGUUUAAUUCGAUGAUACGCGAAGAACCUUACCUGGGUUUGACAUGUUGGUAGUAGUGAAGCGAAAGCGGAACGACCCUUCGGGGAGCCAUCACAGGUGCUGCAUGGCUGUCGUCAGCUCGUGUCGUGAGAUGUUGGGUUAAGUCCCGCAACGAGCGCAACCCUCGUCGUUAGUUACAAGUGUCUAACGAGACUGCCGGUAUCAAACCGGAGGAAGGUGGGGAUGACGUCAAGUCAGCAUGGUCUUUAUAUCCAGGGCUACACACACGCUACAAUGGUCGGUACAAUAGGCUGCCACACCGCGAGGUGAAGCUAAUCCUCAAAGCCGGUCUCAGUUCGGAUUGUAGUCUGCAACUCGACUGCAUGAAGGCGGAGUUGCUAGUAACCGCGCGUCAGCAAUAGUGCGGUGAAUGCGUUCCCGGG